UAAUUAUGUUUUUCCGUGGUUUUCUAUGGUGGAAAACGCCAAAGUUAGAACAAAAAAUAAAUAAAAAAAAGAGAGAAAAAGAAAACCUUUUCAUCUCUCUCCCCUCACCUCACCUCACCUCACCUCACCUCACCUCCAUCUAUCCCUUCUACCUCUAGUCUCUGCCUCUCAUAUCUAUUCUGCUAUUUGUCUCCUUCUCUCGGAGAAAGAGUAGUGGACGGAGAGGGGAGGAGAAGUGAAGGGAGUGAGAGCGUUUUUCGCCGGCGGCCACCGUUGCUUCGUUUUCCAGAGAUUCCUUUCGGAUGUUUCUUUCAAAGGUCGCUUCCUUUCCACGGCAAAUUCAUUUUUGAUACGGAGUUGUAUUCUGAACUUGGCUUCUUUACUCUCUAAUUGUUCCUUUUGUCCCAACUCUGGCGGACCUAAAAGGAGCAUUAUCGUUCUUCCGGUCCUCUCUCUCUGUAAUCUUAGCGGAUCGUUUUUAUUUCAAAUCUAACAAGAAGAGGAGAGGCUCCAGGGGGAUUAACGGUAUUAAGAUGCUUUGGGUUAUGCAAUUCUCUGGGUUCUUUUCAGCGGCAAUGUUGAUGAUUGUUCUAUCUCCUUCAUUUCAGUCAUUUCCACCAGCUGAAGCCAUUAGGUCCUCUCAUCUCCACGCCUACCUCCGGUUAUCCUCAUAUCAGGUGUCCUCGUCACCGUACUCACCGCUUGACCGGUUCUCUUUUCGAAAAGCCUCGGAAUUUGGCAAUGCCGACAAAUGUCGCUCCACCGACCAUAAAAUCACCGGCGUUUGCGAUCCUUCUUUGGUCCACGUGGCCAUCACUCUUGACGUUGAGUACCUCCGUGGCUCAAUCGCCGCCGUUCACUCAAUUCUCCAGCAUUCGUUGUGUCCGGAGAACGUUUUCUUCCAUUUCCUCGUCUCUGAUACUGAUUUAGAAACCCUGGUUCGGUCCACGUUCCCUCAAUUGAAGUUCAAGGCUUACUAUUUCGACCCCGCGAUUGUACGGAACUUGAUAUCGUCUUCCGUUAGGCAAGCGCUUGAACAGCCGUUAAAUUAUGCUAGAAAUUACUUAGCAGAUCUGCUAGAGCCGUGCGUGCGGAGGGUAAUUUAUUUGGACUCUGAUCUAGUCGUUGUUGACGAUAUCGCUAAACUAUGGAGUACCAACCUUGGUUCACGGACAAUCGGUGCACCGGAAUAUUGCCACGCCAACUUCACAAAAUAUUUCACGAGCGGUUUCUGGUCGGCCGAACGGUUUUCAGGGACAUUCAAAGGGAGGAAGCCGUGCUAUUUCAACACGGGGGUGAUGGUGAUAGAUCUGGUGAAAUGGAGGAGGGUGGGAUACACGAAGCGGAUCGAAAGGUGGAUGGAAAUCCAGAAAACCGAUCGGAUCUACGAGCUGGGUUCGUUGCCGCCGUUCCUGUUGGUUUUUGCGGGACGCGUGGCACCCAUCGAGCAUAGGUGGAACCAGCAUGGGUUGGGUGGGGACAACGUGAGGGGAAGUUGCCGAGGCUUGCAUCCGGGUCCCGUCAGCCUCUUGCAUUGGUCCGGUAGUGGCAAGCCAUGGGAUAGGCUUGAUUCCAGACGGCCAUGCCCACUCGACGCGUUAUGGGCACCUUACGACUUGUACCGACACUCACAUUGAAACCAUAGCCAGGGAUUGUCGCCGGAGAUGGAUAGGGUUCAUAAUUAGAGCUUGUUUCAGAGUUAACAGUUUGGGUUUCUCUAGGUCCAAACAGAAGCGAAACAAAAAUGUCUAUUGCUUUCUGUGGAGGAGGCAAUCCACGUGGUAAUAAUAGUGGCAUCGAUGUGGAAAAGUACAAAAAUUAGAAAAAGGACCAAAUUGUACAUAAAUUAAUAUUUAAGAUGAAUGGCAUCCUGGCUGUUGUCGACCUACUUGUUGGGUUUCUUCUUCUUCUUCCUAAUAAUCAUCUCUAACAUGGACUUUGAUCUGUCAUUUAUAGUUCCCUAAAAUACCCUUGUCCUUAGGUACAAUGGAAAGGAUCAAAGAAUCAAGGUGGUGUUAAGACACUGGUAGGCCAUUCUGGUUAAAGUAUGUGGUGAACUGUUUUAGGUGGGACUGGUGGAAUGCAUUGGAGGUGGGGGGGAUAAUUAAGGCCAUGUGAUUGUUCUAAAUUGCUACUUGGUUUGAUUGGUACCCAAAUGCCAAAAGUGACCGAAUAGAGAGGGGGGAGGGAUGUGUGUUUUGCGGUGACAUCUCCACAACUAAUUUUAGGCAUUGGAAGUAUCUUUCAUGGGGGUGUAAAAUUUCUUUUUGGUGGCAUCGGUGCAAUACUUGUUUAGCUCAGCGACUUCCCACACACUGUUUCUUUGUGUAGCUAAAGUGGUAAAUUUUUUUUUGUUUAUUUUUCUUUUUUAAUAUUCCAAAUAAAGUAAUAAAUGUACAUGCGUUAUUUAUACAUACAAACAUACUUGGUUGUUUAAA